UACGUAGGGUCCGAGCGUUGUCCGGAAUUAUUGGGCGUAAAGAGCUCGUAGGCGGUCUGUCGCGUCGGAUGUGAAAACCCAGGGCUCAACCCUGGGCCUGCAUUCGAUACGGGGCAGACUAGAGUUCGGUAGGGGAGACUGGAAUUUACGGUGUAGCGGUGAAAUGCGUAGAUAUCGUAAGGAAGACCAGUGGCGAAGGCGGGUCUCUGGACAGUUCCUGACGCUGAGGAGCGAAAAGCGUGGGGGAGCGAACAGGG
rnacentral:rRNA from 1 species